CAACAAUCUUUCUUACCAACUCUAGUUCAUACCAAAAUCAAAAUUUAUAUGCUUCUUCAAACCUUCAACAACACCUUCAAAAACCACCAACAAAUCUCACAACAACUCAACCAAAACCAAUGAAUAAGAGAGACUUCACCGUCCGCACUGCGAUUAGGAUUCACGUUCACAACUCCGACCAGUCACUACUGUAAGCUGCCGCCGAAGCCAACACCCAAGGGUUGGUAUGUUGCAACUCAAGAAAUGUUGGCAGUAGGAUUCUUGAUAAACCUGCUGCACUGCCCGAGCACAAGAUAGAUCAGGCUCCCAAAAUACCUCUUCAGAAAAGGGUUUGUCAGAAGAGCGACUACAAAACAUGUCCACAGGGCAGCAAUUAGAGAAUACUAUGUAGUCCAAGGGGCAACAAUUAGAUAAUACUAUAGGUGAUGGAAGUGAGUGAAGAUUAGCCGCUGUGAGUCGAGUCGGUUGUCACUCUGAUACGUAGCACUCGGGGGGACAAACACAUGUUUUUAUUUAUUGUUGCUUUGAUGAAUUUUUAGUGAUGUUUUGCUAUUGAAUUGUAACUUAAAGUUGUUUUGUGAAGAUGCUAUGAUGUUAACUUAAUUUCGGAAAGUUUUGUGAAU